rnacentral:lncRNA from 1 species
GAUGGCUUAAGGUUACACUUAUAGAAGAUUUCAGUUCCAGAAUGAUGAUUCUCUCUUCAAUAAAUAAUCUCUGCAGGGUAGAGUUAAGUCACUAGUCUAAGGUUUAGAUAUAAUAAACAUUUUGAAUGAUAAACAUUUGUGACUCUGAUGAAAAAUUUCCAGGAAGGCUGUAACUGUUCCAAUGGCCUUCAGCUUGUAGAAGUUGGUAAUUCUCUUUAGAGGACCAGGAAAGUUAAGCCAGGCAAGUUGUAAGCUUGCUGCUACUUAAAAUUACAAAUCAUUGAAAACUUGUCCAUGAGAACACCUUAGGGAGUAAAUGUGGAUAAUAAUGGUUUAUGUGUGGUUGCAAAACAAUAAUGAACCUGUCUAAUCGAUUGUUCUGAAUAGCAGUAGAUCACAGUGGAAGGAAAAAAUACAUAUCCUUAUCGACUCUUCGUGCGUCCUGUAACUUUUCACUCUUGGGAUUUUUGAAUGGUUUUCUUUAUC